UCCCUGGUGGUCCUGUGGUUAAGACUCUGCACUUCCAGGGCAGAGGCACAGGUUCCAUCCCUGCCCAGGGAA
rnacentral:tRNA from 1 species